GAUACUUGGUGUGAAUUGCAGAAUCCCGUGAACCAUCGAGUCUUUGAACGCAAGUUGCGCCCAAAGCCGUUAGGCCGAGGGCACGUCUGCCUGGGCGUCACG
rnacentral:rRNA from 1 species